CAUUCUCAAAAAACCCUUCUUUAUCAAGAAAGGCUUUUUGGACUUUGGAGGUUAUUGCUGGUCCCCCUUUGAUAGCCAGCUCCUCUUAAAUGGAUUAGUAGGGACCACUUUGCAGACCCUAGACGUGAUAAGAUGUUUUCUACGUCUUGGGUUUUUGCUCUGUCCUUUGGAAACCUGCUUAUAACCGUCUUGUGAAAAGACAAGCAUUCGAGCCCUUCUCGUUGAUCGGGGAAGGCUUGACUCUAAGAA
rnacentral:misc_RNA from 1 species